rnacentral:rRNA from 1 species
GUGGGGAAUCUUCCGCAAUGGACGAAAGUCUGACGGAGCGACGCCGCGUGAGUGAAGAAGGCCUUCGGGUCGUAAAGCUCUGUCAUCAGGGACGAACGGCCGGUGGAGUGGAAAGCCACCGGAUUGACGGUACCUGAGAAGGAAGCCACGGCUAACUACGUGCCAGCAGCCGCGGUAAUACGUAGGUGGCAAGCGUUGUCCGGAAUUAUUGGGCGUAAAGUGCGCGCAGGUGGGAUCUUAAGUCCAUUUUGAAAGUUCGGAGCUCAACUCCGUGAUGGGAUGGAAACUGGGAUUCUUGAGUACCGGAGAGGAAAGCGGAAUUCCCCGUGUAGCGGUGAAAUGCGUAGAUAUGGGGAGGAACACCAGUGGCGAAGGCGGCUUUCUGGACGGUGUCUGACACUGAGGCGCGAAAGCUAGGGGAGCGAACGGGAUUAGAUACCCGUGUAGUCC